UGAUGAGAGUGGGAUUCGAACCCACGCCCUUUCGGACCACGGAAUCCUGGGUUAGGGGAUGUUGAUUAAGGAAGACCUUAACGUGGCGCCUUAGACCGCUCGGCCAUCUCACC